GAUGAACGCUAGCGGCAUGCCUUACACAUGCAAGUCGAACGGUAACAGGUCUUCGGAUGCUGACGAGUGGCGAACGGGUGAGUAAUGCAUCGGAACGUGCCCAGUAGUGGGGGAUAGCCCGGCGAAAGCCGGAUUAAUACCGCAUACGACCUGAGGGUGAAAGGGGGGGAUCGCAAGACCUCUCGCUAUUGGAGCGGCCGAUGUCAGAUUAGCUAGUUGGUGGGGUAAAGGCCUACCAAGGCAACGAUCUGGAGUUGGUCUGAGAGGACGACCAGCCACACUGGGACUGAGACACGGCACAGACUCCUACGGGAGGCAGCAGUGGGGAAUUUUGGACAAUGGGCGCAAGCCUGAUCCAGCAAUGCCGCGUGCAGGAAGAAGGCCUUCGGGUUGUAAACUGCUUUUGUCAGGGAAGAAAUCUUCUGGGUUAAUACCUCGGGAGGAUGACGGUACCUGAAGAAUAAGCACCGGCUAACUACGUGCCAGCAGCCGCCGUAAGAC
rnacentral:rRNA from 1 species